ACGGGAACCCGCACAAGCGGUGGAGUAUGUUGUUUAAUUCGAGGAUACACGAAGAACCUUACCAGGUCUUGACAUACCAUUGACCGGUCUAGAGAUAGACUUUUCGCUUUCGGGCGACAAUGGAUACAGGUGGUGCAUGGUUGUCGUCAGCUCGUGCCGUGAGGUGUUGGGUUAAGUCCCGCAACGAGCGCAACCCCUAUUGAUAGUUGCUAAUAUUAAGUUAAGGACUCUAUUGAGACUGCCAGCGACAAGCUGGAGGAAGGUGGGAUGACGUCAAGUCAGCAUGGCCUUUAUAUCCUGGGCUACACACACGCUACAAUGGCCAACACAAUAGGUUGCUAAGCCGCGAGGUGGAGCCAAUCCAUAAAGUUGGUCUCAGUUCAGAUUGUAGGCUGCAACCCGCCUGCAUGAAGAUGGAGUUGCUAGUAACCGCAGGUCAGCUAUACUGCGGUGAAUACGUUCCCGGGGCUU
rnacentral:rRNA from 1 species